rfam:Schistosoma mattheei strain Denwood, Zambia genome assembly, scaffold: SMTD_scaffold0006717
AUCCAGCUGGCGAGUCCCAAACAGAACGAAACGGGCAUCCUAGAU